CCUACGGGCGGCUGCAGUGAGGAAUAUUGGUCAAUGGACGAGAGUCUGAACCAGCCAAGUAGCGUGAAGGAUGACUGCCCUAUGGGUUGUAAACUUCUUUUAUAUGGGAAUAAAAUGUUCCACGUGUGGGAUUUUGUAUGUACCAUAUGAAUAAGGAUCGGCUAACUCCGUGCCAGCAGCCGCGGUAAUACGGAGGAUCCGAGCGUUAUCCGGAUUUAUUGGGUUUAAAGGGAGCGUAGGUGGAUUGUUAAGUCAGUUGUGAAAGUUUGCGGCUCAACCGUAAAAUUGCAGUUGAUACUGGCAGUCUUGAGUACAGUAGAGGUGGGCGGAAUGCGUGGUGUAGCGGUGAAAUGCUUAGAUAUCACGAAGAACUCCGAUUGCGAAGGCAGUUCACUGGACUGCAACUGACACUGAGGCUCGAAAGUGUGGGUAUCAAACAGGAUUAGAUACCCCAGUAGUC
rnacentral:rRNA from 1 species